rnacentral:lncRNA from 1 species
CUGGAUUCCUUUUUUUUUUCCCUAUAACAGCUCUAUCAAGCUAUAAUUCACAUGCCUUAAAAUUCACCUUUUUUGAAAUGUACAACUGAGUGAUUUGUAAUAUAUUCACAGAGUUGUGCAAUCUUAACAACUACUUAAUUCCAGAACAUUUACAUCACUUCAAAGAAACCCCAUACCCUAUAGCAGUCACUCCCAAUUCUCUUCUUCCACCCAUUCCCUGGAAACCACUAAUCUACUUUCCGUCUCUUUGGAUUUAACUACUCAGGACAUUUUAUAUUUCAAGUGAUUGAAGAUGUAAAAAUGCAACCAGGAGUAGCUCUGAGAAACACCAGGAUUAUCUAUCCACCCUUCUGAAGCUGAGCAGCAGAUUUAUGGAAUCAGAACAGGGAAUGGACUGGGUGCUUAACACCAAUUAGAGCUGCACAUCUGAAGAAGGGAAGAGAAAGAUCCAAAAAUCUCACAAGAUAGGAGGAGAGUGCAGAUCAGAACCCACCACCUUCUCUGACUCCAAAUGCAAUGCUCUUGGCUUGUCUGCGCACCACUUCUUCUCCAUCUCCAGGUCACUGCAUUUAAUUCUAUCCCAUCUGAGUAUGUGAAAUGGAAGCUUGUUUAGAAAAAUCUUUUUAUCUGCCACCUCCUGAAUCUUAAUUCGUCUUAGUGCCAAAAUGUAUAGUAAUCCACAAAGCUGAAGAAGGCUGCAUCAUGUUUGGGACUUGUUCCCCGCUCAUUUGGAUGGCUGGAUCAGAAACAACAGAAGAAAGAGUGCUUGUCUCUUGUGAGUUUGCCAACUGAGUAUUUGGAUUCAGAUGGAUCACACGCAACACAUCAAAUUGUUUUUAGCUCAGUAUCCAAACAUUUGAUUUUUUUAUCUACACUAAUUCCAAAUUUUAUAAAGUUGUUGAAAGUUGCUUGUGGAUAAGUUCAUACAUAUUUGAAAAAGACACAACCAAAAUACGUUUCUACUUGUCAGGUGGGACUGGGACAAAGGAAAAUAUGUUUGUAGAAUGAGGGUAAAUACUUCUUCCCUGGCAACAGAUUUUUAAAAAAGAAUUUAGAAAAGAUGUAAGUGAUGAUCUAUCAUGGAGAUGAAUAACAGAUUUUAGCAGACAGCUACUCUCUAGUGGAAAAUGUUAUGAAGAAUCCUGAAGCUAUACUCCUGCAAUGCAUGAGAGAGGGUCUCCAUAGAUUGAGGAUGUCUGUCAUGAACAUAGGAGGUAUCAGUGGCACACACAGAUCAGGCAUAAACCGCCUCUGAUCUGACCUAACGAAAUACUUUUCUAAUGACAGACAGGGACAGUGGCUAAACAGACUCUGUACUUAGGUACAGAGCCUAGGUUUCCUGACUUCACUUUCUUGACUUUCAUCAUUCUAGCACAACUUAAAACCUGGUAUCUUCCAGUUUGACAAAGAGAAGUCUCACCACAUACCAAGCAGUUUCUUCAAAUGUUUUGUUCUUUGAAACAAAAUCAAAACAAUCAGUAAAAUAAAGUUUCCUCCUAUUCCUGAAAAAAUGGUCCAGACAGGCUCAUAGACAUCAAUGCGGCCUUGUCACAACAUCUCAACUCUUAGCCACACUCACAAGAAGAACUUGUAGAUUCCUCAUAGAUGUUCUCAAGUUAGAAGGCAAAGCACAACCCUUUUUGACUUUUUCUAAUUGAUGCUUGUUUGCAGAAAGAGUAAACAAGGCCCAGAUUUUUAUUCAUCUGUGGGGCUGUGGGUAGCUAAUUUUUCUUUGAGCCUGCCAGGUUCUACAUUAUAUAAGGAAGACUUUUUAAAAGAGGAGCCCUGCAUUAAUUUAGAGAGAAACCAGUUAGACCAAACAUGCUUGUAACAUAUGGGAAGAGGCACAGAAGGCAUGAGUUGUUCCGGACAGAUGAGCAGAGGAGGGAGAGUGGGGGAGCAGAAUUCUCCUUUUGUGAUCCCUCCUGCUGAUCUCACCCAAACAAACUCGUCUUAGAACUUCAGAGCCACAACUGGACAGAAAGCUACCCAUUCUCUCUGCCUCCCACAGUCUCACUCUCUCUCUCUCUCUUUUUUUUUUUUUCAUUUGACAGGAUCUGAGCCAAAUGGCUCUACACUUUCCUUGCACUGAUUCAGAGCAUAUUCAAGUCAUCUAGGGAAAUGCAUCUCCCUACAUAUGCUCAUGUGGAAAAAUAAACAUACUAAAAUAAAAAAUUUGGGAUUUGACCCCAAUUUCUAGGAUCUACUGUGUCUUCCAGGAGGGGAUAAUGGUAUAACCUGGGGCUACAUAAAAAACAAGCCCUAAAAGUACAGCUUAUAAAAUUAAAAUGGUAGAGGCUGGGGAUGGUGCUCACGCCUGUAAUCCCAGCACUGUGGGAGGCCAAGGGGGGUGGAUCACCUGAGCUCAGGAGUUCAAGACCAGUCUGGGCAACAUGGUGAAACCCCACCUCUAAAAAAAUAAUAAUAAAUAAAAUUAAAUUAACAUUAAAAUGGGUGGAUAGUGAGCAGCCUAGUGAUCUACCACCUAGAUUGCACUUGACCUAGAAGAUAAGAACACUAAUCCUGUCUCUAACACACACAAAAUAGCUGUAUGUUCUUGGGUGAGUUGUUGUCUUUUCUGGGGCUAAUUUCUUACUCUAUAAAUUAUCUCUGCCCUCCAGCUUUGUUGCUCCCAGUCUCCUACAGAACCCUAUAUUUGCUUCCAUUGUCCCAUUGUUCCUGCUGCACUGGAAUAUGAUUAUGUGCUUGGUCUGCAUGUUAAGGUGGAGAGAAUCUGGGCCUUAGAAGCAGAUUUGGAUUGGAUUGCUGACACCAGCCCCCAAGUGUAUAAUCUUGAGCAAGCCAAUUAAGACAUGCCUAAUUUAUAUAAAGGGGAGAAAACACCAUGGUAUAAUGUCUCCUCACCAAGGUUCUUCUAAAGGUUAAAAAUCAGAGCACAUAUAAAAAUGCCUAACUAUGCAUAAUUCUAAGAUUCGUAAAUCUUAGCUUCCCUCAUAUUUCCUUAAUGUCUAGCAUAAGCCAAACAUAUGGUGGGUAUUCCACAAAUCCUGUUAGAGAGAAUGGAAUGGAAGGGAAAAGAAGGAAAGAAGAGGAAGAAAGAGGCAGACAUGGAAGAAAAGAGGAAAUGCCAGUUUUCAAAGGGAAUGCUUCCAGUUUUUGGCCAUUCAGUAUGAUAUUGGCUGUGGGUUUGUCAUAGAUAGCUCUUAUUAUUUUGAAAUACGUCCCAUCAAUACCUAAUUUAUUGAGAGUUUUUAGCACGAAGGGUUGUUGAAUUUUGUCAAAGGCCUUUUCUGCAUCUAUUGAGAUAAUCAUGUGGUUUUUGUCUUUGGUUCUGUUUAUAUGCUGGAUUACAUUUAUUGAUUUGCGUAUAUUGAACCAGCCUUGCAUCCCAGGGAUGAAGCCCACUCGAUCAUGGUGGAUAAGCUUUUUGAUGUGCUGCUGGAUUCGGUUUGCUAGUAUUUUAUUGAGGAUUUUUGCAUCAAUGUUCAUCAAGGAUAUUGGUCUAAAAUUCUCUUUUUUUGUUGUGUCUCUGCCAGGGUUUGGUAUCAGGAUGAUGCUGGCCUCAUAAAAUGAGUUAGGGAGGAUUCCCUCUUUUUCUAUUGAUUGGAAUAGUUUCAGAAGGAAUGGUACCAGCUCCUCCUUGUACCUCUGGUAGAAUUCGGCUGUGAAUCCAUCUGGCCCUGGACUUUUUUUGGUUGGUAAGCUAUUAAUUAUUGCCUCAAUUUCAGAGCCUGUUAUUGGUCUAUUCAGAGAUUCAACUUCUUCCUGGUUUAGUCUUGGGAGAGUGUAUGUGUCGAGGAAUUUAUCCAUUUCUUCUAGAUUUUCUAGUUUAUUUGCGUAGAGAUGUUUAUAGUGUUCUCUAAUGGUAGUUUGUAUUUCUGUGGGAUUGGUGGUGAUAUCCCCUUUAUCAUUUUUAUUGCAUCUAUUUGAUUCUUCUCUCUUUUCUUCUUUAUUAGUCUUGCUAGUGGUCUGUCAAUUUUGUUGGUCUUUUCAAAAAAACAGCUCCUGGAUUCAUUGAUUUUUUGAAGGGUGUUUUGUGUCUCUAUUUCCUUCAGUUCUGCUCUGAUCUUAGUUAUUUCUUGCCUUCUGCUAGUUUUUGAAUGUGUUUGCUCUUGCUUCUCUAGUUCUUUUAAUUGUGAUGUUAGGGUGUCAAUUUUAGAUCUUUCCUGCUUUCUCUUGUGGGCAUUUGGUGCUAUACAUUUCCCUCUACACACUGCUUUGAAUGUGUCCCAGAGAUUCUGGUAUGUUGUGUCUUUGUUCUCAUUGGUUUCAAAGAACAUCUUUAUUUCUGCCUUCAUUUCAUUAUGUACCCAGUAGUCAUUCAGGAGCAGGUUGUUCAGUUUCCAUGUAAUUGAGCAGUUUUGAGUGAUUUUCUUAAUCCUGAGUUCUAGUUUGAUUGCACUGUGGUCUGAGAGACAGUUUGUUGUAAUUUCCGUUCUUUUACAUUUGCUGAGGAGUGCUUUACUUCCAACUAUGUGGUCAGUUUUGGAAUAGGUAUGGUGUGGUACUGAAAAGAAUGUAUAUUCUGUUGAUUUGGGGUGCAGAGUUCUGUAGAUUUCUGUUAGGUCCGCUUGGUGCAGAGCUGAGUUCAAUUCCUGGAUAACCUUGUUAACUUUCUGUCUCGUUGAUCUGUCUAAUGUUGACAGUGGGAUGUUAAAGUCUCCCAUUAUUAUUGUGUGGGAGUCUAAGUCACUUUGUAGGUCACUAAGGACUUGCUUUAUGAAUCUGGGUGCUCCUAUAUUGGGUGCAUAUGUAUUUAGGAUAGUUAGUUCUUCUUGUUGAAUUGAUCCCUUUACCGUUAUGUAAUGGCCUUCUUUGUCUCUUUUGAUCUUUGUUGGUUUAAAGUCUGUUUUAUCUGAGACUAGGAUUGCAACCCCUGCCUUUUUUUAUUUUCCAUUUGCUUGGUAGAUCUUCCUCCAUCCCUUAUUUUGAGCCUAUGUGUGUCUCUGCACGUCGGAUGGGUUUCCUGAAUACAGCACACUGAUGGGUGUUGACCCUUUAUCCAAUUUGCCAGUGUGUGCCUUUUAAUUGGAGCAUUUAGCCCAUUUACAUUUAAGGUUGGUAUUGUUAUGUGUGAAUUUGAUCCUGUCAUUAUGAUGUUAGCUGGUUAUUUUGCUUUGAUGCAGUUUCUUCUUAGCCUUGAUGGUCUUUACAAUUUGGCAUGUUUUUGCAGUGGGUGGUACCGGUUGUUCCUUUUCAUGUUUAGUGCUUCCUUCAGGAGCUCUUGUAGGGCAGGCCUGGUGGUGACAAAAUCUCUCAGCAUUUGCUUGUCUGUAAAGUAUUUUAUUUCUCCUUCGCUUAUGAAGCUUAGUUUGGCUGGAUAUGAAAUUCUGGGUUGAAAAUUCUUUUCUUUAAGAAUGUUGAAUAUUGGCCCCCACUCUCUUCUGGCUUGUAGAGUUUCUGCCGAGAGAUCAGCUGUUAGUCUGAUGGGCUUCCCUUUGUGGGUAACCCGACCUUUCUCUCUGGCUGCCCUUAACAUUUUUUCCUUCAUUUCAACUUCGGUGAAUCUGACAAUUAUGUGUCUUGGAGUUGCUCUUCUCGAGGAGUAUCUUUGUGGCAUUCUCUGUAUUUCCUGAAUUUGAAUGUUGGCCUGCCUUGCUAGAUUGGGGAAGUUCUCCUGGAUAAUAUCCUGUAGAAUGUUUUCCAACUUGGUUCCAUUCUCCCCGUCACUUUCAGGUACACCAGUCAAACGUAGAUUUGGUCUUUUCACAUGUCCCAUAUUUCUUGGAGGUUUUGUUCGUUUCUUUUUAUUCUUUUUCUCUAAACUUCUCUUCUUGCUUCAUUUUAUUCAUUUCGUCUUCCAUCACUGAUACCCUUUCUUCCAGUUGAUUGCAUCGGCUACUGAGGCUUCUGCACUCAUCACGUGGCUCUCGCGCCUUGGUUUUCAGCUCUAUCAGGUCCUUUAAGGACUUCUCUGCUUUGGUUAUUCUAGUUAUCCAUUCAUCUAAUUUUAUUUCAAAGCUUUUAACUUCUUUGACAUUGGUUCGAAUUUCUUCCUGUAGCUCGGAGUAGUUUGAUUGUCUGAAGCCUUCUUCUCUCAUUUUGUCAAAGUCAUUCUCCAUCCAGCUUUGUUCCAUUGCUGGUGAGGAGCUGCAUUCCUUUGGAGGAGGAGAGGCAUUCUGAUUUUUAGAGUUUCCACUUUUUCUGCUCUGUUUUUUUCCCAUCUUUGUAGUUUUAUCUACCUUUGGUCUUUGAUGAUGGUGACGUACAGACAGGUUUUUGGUGUGGAUGUCCUUUCUGUUUGUUAGUUUUCCUUCUAACAGACAGGACCCUCAGCUGCAGCUCUGUUGGAGUUUGCUAGAGGUCCACUCCAGACCCUGUUUGCCUGGGUAUCAGCAGUGGUGGCUGCAGAAUAGUGUACAUCGGUGAACCGCAAAUGCUGCUGCCUGAUCGUUCCUCUGGAAGUUUUGUCUCAGAGGAGUACCCGGCUGUGUGAGGUGUCAGUCAGCCCCCUACUCGGGGGUGCCUCCCAGUUAGGCUACUCGGGGGUCAGGGACCCACUUGAGGAGGCAGUCUGCCCAUUCUCAGAUCUCAAGCUGCGUGCUGGGAGAAACACUACGCUCUUCAAAGCUGUCAGACAGGGACAUUUAAGUAUGCAGAGGUUAUUGCUGUCUUUUGUUUGUCUGUGCCCCGCCCCCAGAGGUGGAGCCUACAGAGGCAGGCAGGCCUCCUUGAGCUGUGUUGGACUCCACCCAGUUUGAGCUUUCGGGCCACUUUGUUUACCUACUCAAGCCUGAGCAAUAGUGGGCGCCCCUCCCCCAGCCUUGCUGCCACCUCGCAGUUUGAUCUCAGACUGCUGUGCUAGCAAUGAGCGAGGCUCCGUGGGCAUAGGACCCUCCAAGCCAGGUGCGGGAUAUAAUCUCCUGGUGUGCCAUUUGUUAAGCCCGUUGGAAAAGCACAAUAUUAGGGUGGGAGUGACCCGAUUUUCUAGGUGCCGUCUGUCACCCCUUUCUUUGACUAGGAAAGGGAAUUCCCUGACCCCUUGCGCUUCCCAGGUGAGGUGAUGCCUUGCCCUGCUUCGGCUCACGCAUGGUGCGCUGCACCCACUCUCCUGCACCCACUGUUCGGCACUCCCCAGUGAGAUGAACCCAGUACCUCAGUUGGAAAUGCAGAAAUCUCCUGUCUUCUGUGUCACUCACACUGGGAGCUGUAGACUGGAGCUGUUCCUAUUCGGCCAUCAGUUGUCUUGAUUUUUAUGUUUCCCUGUGGCUUUGCAGAGAGCUGGUCUAAUUAUUAUAUAUAUGUAUAUAAAUAAAUAAAUUAUAUAUUUAUAUAUAUAUAUUUCACUUCACAUAUUGUUAAUGUCACCUAGUUGAGGCAGUUGUGACCACCUUCAUUUUAGAGAUUAGUGUCUGCUGCCUAAAGCAAUCCAUAGAUUUCCUGAAGCCAGACUGUUGUGAUCCUAGAGACCCUUGCAGGGAAGUAAGAGGAAGUUCCCUCUUCCCCAUGUACUUUUCCAGAACCAGGAUGACCUUGGGAACUAGAUCUCAUAGGAGAGGAUGCAUCUCUAGAUGGAGGUUACAGUCUGUGAAAUUUAACCACAAGGGAGAGGGCGGGCAAGAGAUAUUUCCUAAUGGUCAAGAGCAUAGGCACUGGAACACUGUACCUGAGGUCUCUGGACUCACAUCAGUAUGACCUUAGGAAAUUUAGCGAUCGCUUUAGGCAGCAGACAUUCCUUUUUUAUUUUUUUAUUUUUAUUUUUUUGGAGAUGGAGUUUCACUCUUGUUGCCCAGGCUAGAGUGCCAUGGCACAAUCUCAGCUCACUGCAACCUCUGCCUCCUGGGUUCAAGCAAUUCUCCUGCCUCAGCCUCCUGAGUAGCUGGGAUUACAGGGGCCCGCCACCAUGCCUGGCUAAUUUUGUGUGUGUGUGUUUUAGUAGAGAUGGGGUUUCACCAUGUUGGCCAGGCUGAUCUCGAACUCCUGAACUCCAGUGAUCCACCUGCCACUGUCUCCCAAAGUGCUGAGAUUACAGGCAUGAGCCACUGUGCCCGGCCACUAAUCUUUAAAAUGGAGGUGACCAUAACUACUUCAGCAAUGUGGCAUUAAGAAUAUGUAAAAUAAAUAAUAUAAAAUAACUAGAUCAGUAAUUAGCAGGAAUAAGUUCUCGAUAAAUGGCUAAUAACAAAUACUAUUGUCUGUGGUUUUUGCGAACAGAGCUCAGAAUUAGGGUAGAAGUUUGACCGAAAGAGCUAAUCUUUGCCCAGGAGACAAUCCUACCUUACUAAAGGAUUCCCUCCUUUCAAUUCACUGAAAUUUCUGAGCUCUUAAUAUUGAUGAGGCAUUACAAAGGUUAUAAAGAUUAUUGAGGCUUGCCUGUUUUUCAAUCAUCGGAGCUCAAGAUUCAUGAGAUGAAAAGACAUAUUAACAAAAAUUCUGUGAGACAGAGCAAAGAGUAAUUGCACUUGAUAGUGUUAAGUACCAUUUUGGUCAUUCAAAAAAGGGAAUUAUUUUACCUGACUGGGGAGUUAGAAUAGACUCUAUGAAGCAGGGAGGUUUUUGACAGCACUGGAAGAAAGCAUGGAGUUUGGAUAAACACAGGUAUGAGUAAGAAGGAAGGACAUUUUUUGUUUGAGGAAACAGAAAGUGCAAAGAUACAUAGAUUAGCUUAUAUAUUAUAAAAGGGCUGAGAAAUGAGGCUGAAAAUGUAGGCUAGAAGUACAGGGUAAAAGGUUUUAGGACUUUCUGAAUUCUAUAGGCAAUGGAGAAGCAUUAGACGUCUUUCUUGAGUGGAUUGUAAAUUAUCUGAAGAUGGAAUAUUUGAAUAUUUCAACAUCAUAAUAUAAUGAUUGGCAAAUAGCACUCAGUAAUUGUUUGAGUAAAUGGUGGAUAGUGGAUGGAUAAAUGAAGACAUGGAUGGAUGGAUAGAUGAAUAAAUGAAUGAAAUAAUGGUUAUGGAAGAUAUACACCCAGCUGUCUUGUACUCAUCUGCUUGCCAAUUAAAUCAUAACAUUUAGUAAAUAUUAAAUAAAUUAAUUGUUCACAGACUGUGCUAUAUAUUAUUUGUGCUUUGAACUUGGAGCAAAUUCUCUCUUUAUCAUAGUAAGCCCAGGAAAGACUAUCUUGCCCACAUUUUGGAGAGAUUCAUUUUCUAUGUACUGUACUCUACCUAUUGGAAGUCAGGGAUUUUUUUUCUUAGCCAUUUUUGUUGAGUCAUUGUCUUUAUUUUGAUAAGA